rfam:Heligmosomoides polygyrus genome assembly, scaffold: HPBE_scaffold0001795
GCGCCGGUGGUGUAAGGCGAACAUCGCUGCCCGGAAAGCAGAAGAAGCGGGUUCGAGUCCCGCCUGGCGCA